rnacentral:rRNA from 1 species
ACGGCGAGUGAAGCGGCAAAAGCUCAAAUUUGAAAUCUGGUACCUUCGGUGCCCGAGUUGUAAUUUGGAGAGGGCAACUUUGGGGCCGUUCCUUGUCUAUGUUCCUUGGAACAGGACGUCAUAGAGGGUGAGAAUCCCGUGUGGCGAGGAGUGCGGUUCUUUGUAAAGUGCCUUCGAAGAGUCGAGUUGUUUGGGAAUGCAGCUCUAAGUGGGUGGUAAAUUCCAUCUAAAGCUAAAUAUUGGCGAGAGACCGAUAGCGAACAAGUACAGUGAUGGAAAGAUGAAAAGAACUUUGAAAAGAGAGUGAAAAAGUACGUGAAAUUGUUGAAAGGGAAGGGCAUUUGAUCAGACAUGGUGUUUUGUGCCCUCUGCUCCUUGUGGGUAGGGGAAUCUCGCAUUUCACUGGGCCAGCAUCAGUUUUGGUGGCAGGAUAAAUCCAUAGGAAUGUAGCUUGCCUCGGUAAGUAUUAUAGCCUGUGGGAAUACUGCCAGCUGGGACUGAGGACUGCGACGUAAGUCAAG